UCACCUGGAACCCAGAAGUGUUGGGAGAAAGGAUAUGAGUACAAACCCUGGGCCUCCCUUCUCAACAAGACUGCUGUUGCUAUUUGGAUGACUGUAACCCAGCACUUGAAGACAGAGGGCUUACUGCAGUUCUUUUUAGGCCAUGUACUUGGGAGCCUGAGGAAGUACUAGAGAACAAACUCCAGUACAGAAAUGGAAUCAACAGAUAACCUGACCUCAGCAUCCGUUCAUUUGCUCAUGAAGCCUGUCCUCUGGAGCCGCCUCUGCAUUAUCAACAAAAUGCUCCAUCAUCUACGCCUAGACUGGAGCCUGGUAACCUCCACGGCUGGAAGGUUGUAACAAAAACAAAUGGUCUCAGAGAGGACAAGGUAAGAAUCAUAGGGAUCAUUCUGCUCACGCAAAGGCAAGAACAAGUGAAGAAACCCUCCUCAGGGGUCAUCACUACAUCUCUUAAAAUCACAAAACUCUGGCCUAGGACCUAACCUUCCCAAACAGAUGCUCUUCCCCACUGAGCACUGGAUUAACCAACGAAUGUGCUGCCAGCGGAGCUGGAUGUACACUGGCCAGCAGAACGCUGUGCUUCUGGAGCAGAGCACAAGACAACAGCUUAGGAUCAACAGACUCACCAGCCCUUCUGGUCUUACUGUGUGUGAACUGCAGAACUGUCAUUAAGACUCCACUGUUUUGAACUUGUUACCUACAGGUGACAGAGGAGGGACCUCUGAAGGAAUGGAAGCUGAAGUAGAGAGCCUCUUACAUCCAGGCUAUAGAAGACAAUCUAUGUGUCCUCGGUCCAGACAAUGUAGAGGAAACCAGAAUCAAAUAUCAAAUAUCCUCAGAAGCAGAUGAAGGAAAAAGAAGAAAUGGGAUCCUGACUGCCAAGGAAGCACUUUUGGCUCUAAACCACUCUCUGGUAAACAUCAUCAAAUCAUAGCUGGACUCUGACGUUCCAGCUGAGAAGACAGAGAAGGGUGAGAGGCCAAGCAGCUCCAGUCAUUUCUUAGAGGAUUUAGGUAGCCAACGCAUCUUGGACAAUCAGUGAAGUGGACUCUUCUAAACUGUCUCCCCUUCCCUUUCUUCAGUGGCUCCAAACCCUUUUUUAAAUAGGAGGUGAUUUAACUCUCUUCUGGCCUUAGAAGACUGGGUGAGAGGUAUAAGAGGUAGGAUAGACUCGAAAUGCUCUUGGGAGAGUAAGGAUGU